GACGAACGCUGGCGGCGUGCCUAAUACAUGCAAGUAGAACGCUGAAGAGAGGAGCUUCCUCUUCUUGGAUGAGUUGCGAACGGGUGAGUAACGCGUAGGUAACCUGCCUUGUAGCGGGGGAUAACUAUUGGAAACGAUAGCUAAUACCGCAUAACAAUGGAUGACACAUGUCAUUUAUUUGAAAGGGGCAAUUGCUCCACUACAAGAUGGACCUGCGUUGUAUUAGCUAGUAGGUGAGGUAAUGGCUCACCUAGGCGACGAUACAUAGCCGACCUGAGAGGGUGAUCGGCCACACUGGGACUGAGACACGGCCCAGACUCCUACGGGAGGCAGCAGUAGGGAAUCUUCGGCAAUGGGGGCAACCCUGACCGAGCAACGCCGCGUGAGUGAAGAAGGUUUUCGGAUCGUAAAGCUCGGUUGUAAGUCAAGAACGGGUGUGAGAGUGGAAAGUUCACACUGUGACGGUAGCUUACCAGAAAGAGACGGCUAACUACGUG
rnacentral:rRNA from 1 species